rnacentral:rRNA from 1 species
CGACUGCUAUCGGGGUGAGACUAAGCCAUGCGAGUCAGGUCCCAAGCCAUGGUGGGAUCUGGCGGACGGCUCAGUAACACGUAGCUAACCUGCCCUCAGGACGGGGAUAACCUCGGGAAACUGAGGCUAAUACCCGAUAGGGGAUGACGCCUGGAAUGGUCCAUCCCCCAAAGGGUAGUGCCACCAUGCUGGCACGCCGCCUGAGGAUGGGACUGCGGCCGAUCAGGUUGUUGGUGGGGUAACGGCCCACCAAGCCUUCGACCGGUACGGGCCGUGAGAGCGGGAGCCCGGAGAUGGGCACUGAGACAAGGGCCCAGGCCCUACGGGGUGCAGCAGGUGCGAAAACUCCGCAAUCCGCGAAAGCGGGACGGGGUUACCCCGAGUGCUUCCCCAAAAGGGAAGCUUUUCUCCAGUCUGACACGCUGGAGGAAUAAGGGGAGGGCAAGGCUGGUGCCAGCCGCCGCGGUAAAACCAGCUCCUCGAGUGGUCGGGAUGUUUAUUGGGCUUAAAGCGUCCGUAGCCGGCCUAGUAAGUCCCCGGUUAAAUCCGGCAGCCUAACUGUCGGACUGCUGGGGAUACUGCUAGGCUUGGGGGCGGGAGAGGCCGAGGGUACUCGCCGGGGUAGGGGUAAAAUCCUUAAAUCCCGGGAGGACCACCAGUGGCGAAGGCGCUCGGCUGGAACGCGCCCGACGGUGAGGGACGAAACCCAGGGGAGCGAACCGGAUUAGAUACCCGGGUAGUCCUGGGCGUAAACGAUGCGGGCUAGGUGUUAGGGCGCACUCGUGGCGUCCUAGUGCCGAAGGGAAACCGUUAAGCUCGCCGCCUGGGGAGUACGGCCGCAAGGCUGAAACUUAAAGGAAUUGGCGGGAGAGCACCACAAGGGGUGAAGCCUGCGGUUCAAUUGGAGUCAACGCCGGGAAUCUUACCAGGGGAGACAGCAGGAUGAAGGCCAGGCUGAAGACCUUGCCAGACGAGCUGAGAGGAGGUGCAUGGCCGUCGUCAGUUCGUGCCGUGAGGUGUCCGGUUAAGUCCGGCAACGAACGAGACCCGUGCCCUUAGUUGCCAGCUAGCCUCGUUGAGGCUAGGGCAGCACUAAGGGGACUGCCGCCGACGAGGCGGAGGAAGGUGCGGGCCACAGCAGGUCAGUAUGCCCCGAAACCCCUGGGCCACACGCGGGCUGCAUUGGCUGGGACAAUGGGUUCCGACCCCGAAAGGGGGAGGUAAUCCCGAAACCCAGUCGUGGUUGGGAUCGAGGGCUGUAACUCGCCCUCGUGAACCUGGAAUCCCUAGUAAUCGCGUGUCAUCAUCGCGCGGUGAAUACGUCCCCGCUCUUUGCACACACCGCCCGUCGCUCCAUCCGAGUCGCCUCUGGAUGAGGCGUGCUCCUUCGGGGUGCGUCGAAUCUGGGGGCGAUGAGGAGGGAGAAGUCGUAACAAGGCAGCCGUAGGGGAACCUGCGGCUG